UCACCAUCCAACCCUAGCUGCCGAUGAUUUUAAGCCCUCGUCGAUGCGCUACGCUGACUCUACCAGCGAUAGUUUUUAUCAAAAUGACCCACAACGCCUUCUCUUCUCUUCCAUCCGAACUAAUCUUUCAAAUCAUUAAUAAGGACAAGCAAAACUAGAUUGGAGCGUUAGUCUAUUCACUCGUUGGAUCCACGUUGUUCAUCGUUUAAUGAGAUUGAAAUCACACAAUGUUUCUCUCUUCGACUUAGGCUCUUCAUCUACUGAUUCGAUUCACCAACGAACGCUCUAACCGUCACCAAUUUAAGAACCCGAAAAGGGUCAUUGAAUUCAAAUCUUGUGGCUCUAGAUUUUCUACAUGGGGAAAUUCGUGGUCGAAGCCCAUGGUUGCUACAGAAGCUUCUGAAACUGAUGAUAAACGAAUCGAACUUUAUGGUUCUAAAAAUUGAUGAUGCCAUUAGUCCAUCAGACUACUGAGGGUUUUGGGCUGGAAAACUUGGAUAUAUCAACAGGAAGAAGCUCAUGAGUUCCUGCAAUGCAUGUUACAUAGGCUUGAAAGCUGUUGACUAAAGGCCAAGAAUGAUUUGUCCUCUGUUGAUGAUUGCCUCGUUAAGAAGGUUUAUCAUGGUCACCUGGUUAGCAGAGUAUAAAUGUUGCAACUUGAUCAUGGGUCAUUAUUGUAAUUUGUAAAAGAUGUAUGUUAUUAUUGUAAUUUGUGAACCUUUCUCCUUUAAUGUAAUUUAUAAAAAGUUGUGGUAUCUAUUAUAAUUUAUAAAA